rnacentral:miRNA from 1 species
AGCAUAGCGUGUGACCCCCGUA